CCGCCAUCUUGAUACUGCUGGUUACCAUCUAGUGAACUCUUGGAAGGCAGAGACCGGAAACACUGCGGCAGUUUCUGGAAACUGGUCUUCUACCAGGAAUGUACCAGCAGAUGGGAUGUUGCUGAAAAUGGAGGGUUCUGAAUGGCGUUCUCCAAAACAGGGGGUCUUGGAGCAGAGUCACAGUUGCUUAAAAUUUCACUGAAAAUUACUUCAUCCAUCUCAGCUUCAGUGAUCUGGGAGAAUUAAGUCGAGCACUGAAGACAAGCUCUAAAAGACUGUGAGUUUGCUGGAAGAAGAAUCUUUUCUACUGAUUGUAACCUAAUCAAAACUUUGAUGCUUAUUGGUACCUAAUUUAAACUAAGAAAGCCAAUCAAGGGAAAUAUGAUUUUUUAAAAAUUAUGGCUUUGAAUCCCAAUCUUGUUGAGCACUUGAUUUUGUAACAGGCACCAUCCUUGACUUCUUAUUAUAUAAUCUCAUUGAAUUCUCACAACAUUAUGAAGUAAACAGCCUCAAUACCGUAACUUUUUUUAGGGAUGAGGAAAGUAUGAUGCUAAAAUCGGAAAAAGACUAAAUUCCAACAAUAGACAAAUGUUUAGGCAAACUAUAACUACAACCAAAGAUGAUUAUUAUGCACCUGUUUAAAAAAAAGAUUCACACAUAGCAUGUGGUAACUUGGAAAAAAUAAUUUUUUUAGGCCAAAGAAGUAGACUGUAAAAUUGUAUAUAAAUUUGAUUAAAACUAUGUAAUUUCUGAUUUUUUAAAAAACAACUUGGGCAUUGGGGGAAAAAAGGAAUAAACCAGUGCAAUCUUUUCUUUGGCAAUAUGCAACAAAAGCUUUUAAAAUGUUGAGAUUCUUAACCCUGUAAUUGUAUUUCUUACAACCUGUUCUAAAGAAAUAAUCUAAAAACUAGACAAACAUUUGAGAAUAAAGGUGUUCAUAAUAGUGAAAAAAUGUAAACAACUUGAUUGUCCAAGUGGGCACUUUUCAGGAAAAUUAUUGUACAAACAUAGAUGUAAUUUUAUAUAGUCAUGAUGUCUUCAAAACAUUUUUAAUGACAAGGAAAAAUGCUUGCAGUAUAAUAGUAAGCAGAAUUGCAGUAUUCAAAAUUGUAUAUACAGUAUGAUCAUAAAAUAUAAGUGCAGACAAAAGAUGGGAAACAAAUAUACCAGUGUUAAUAGUGGUUCUCUCUAGGUAGUGGAUUAUUGAUCUGUAUAAUUUUGUAUGUUUUGAUUUUUUCCCCACCAUAUCAUGUAUUAUUUUUAUUUAAAAUUUACAAACACAUUUUAAAAGAUAUUUGCCUGGUGAGCUGUAAGAUACUUCCCUAUCAGACUGUAAACUGUAAAAGGCAAGGACGCCUUCUUAAUUAUAUUUGUACUGCCAUUGCCUAUCACUGUGUGCUCAAUAAAUCCUAACUGAAUAAAUGAUCUUCUAUAAUAGUC